rnacentral:rRNA from 1 species
AUUGAACGCUGGCGGCAGGCUUAACACAUGCAAGUCGAACGAGUGGCUGACGGGUGAGUAAUGCUUGGGAAUCUCGCUUAUGGAGGGGGAUAACUACGAGAAACUGUCGCUAAUACCGCGUACCAUAGGAUGAUCCCAAGUGGGAUUAGGUAGUUGGUGAGGUACAGGCUCACCAAGCCGACGAUCUCUAGCUGGUCUGAGAGGAUGACCAGCCACACUGGGACUGAGACACGGCCCAGACUCCUACGGGAGGCAGCAGUGGGGAAUAUUGCGCAAUGGGGGCAACCUGACGCAGCCAGGCCGCGUGAAUGAAGAAGGCCUUCGGGUUGUAAAGUACUUUCGGUAGCGAGGCGUUAACUACAGAAGAAGCACCGGCUAACUCCGUGCCAGCAGCCGCGGUAAUUC